UAUUAACAUUGACAGUCGUUUAGUGAUGUCACCUAAAUCCUUACAAUCAUCUUCUUUUCCAGGGAAAUUCCGAGGAGUUCAGAUUCUUUCAUUCCUUCUGGUCCGAGGCAGCAUUGGUAUCAAGUGUUCCUAACAGGUGGGGGCAUAGGGGGUAUUGGUCAUACUGGUGUUGUUGGCGAGGACGAAGCUUGGGCAUCGGGCAGAAUGUUGCCACCUGCAUGAGUGGAACAGAGGAGCCUCAGUUCUGGCUCUUGAAUCAUUGGGACAGUUGCUUGGGUGCUUGAAGGUAGGCUAGUGUGUUUUAUCGUGUUUGUGUGGAUGUGAUAGUGAUCUCAUAUGCAAUUUGCAGAUACACAAUAUGAUGGUCCAUAAGUCACAUUGAUUCUGUCAGAAACGUCGACCUUUGGUUGACACUAAGUUCAUUAGAAUGACUCAUAGAGACUGACAAAGUUGGCAUGUACAUUGUCAUGUGACAGUGAGUGAGGCUGUGUGUUUGUCAAGUCAAGUCAACUUGUCACAUACACAUGUUUAGCA
rnacentral:lncRNA from 1 species